UGCGAUGCGAUUUUCCAGGAGGCCUAUGGGUCGGUUUUCAUCACCACUCUUGUCCUUGGAUUCAGCCCGUCCAUCGAUGGAAACACUACAAUAGAGGUGGAGCUUGUUUUCAAUAACACAGCAUCACCUGAAGUGACCGUUUCAACUGCCGAUGUACUGGAGACCAUGACGACGGCAGCAACCAACACCUCCGCUGGCGGAUUCUCCUUUGAUCCUGAAUCUAUUGUUGUCACAGAAACGCCAACCUCAACGACAGCACCAACAACAACUACGGCAACUCCAGAACCCUCAGUUCCUACUGUGUCUUUCACGGUAGAGGCUACACUAUCAAAGCCUUUCACU